rnacentral:sRNA from 1 species
UCACUUUUGGGGAGACGCGCUACAUC